rnacentral:rRNA from 1 species
AACUCCCUGGAGUCGACGGCCGGCCUCCGGAUUGUAAACUGUUUUCGUACGGACUCAAAAGGCUCUAUCUAAUACAGGGGGCUCAUGACGGUACCGUAAGAAUAAGCACCGGCUAACUACGUGCCAGCAGCCGCGGUAAUACGUAGGGUGCGAGCGUUAAUCGGAAUUACUGGGCGUAAAGCGUGCGCAGGCGGUCUUGUAAGACAGGUGUGAAAUCCCCGGGCUUAACCUGGGAACUGCACUUGUGACUGCAAGGCUGGAGUACGGCAGAGGGGGAUGGAAUUCCGCGUGUAGCAGUGAAAUGCGUAGAUAUGCGGAGGAACACCGAUGGCGAAGGCAAUCCCCUGGGCCUGUACUGACGCUCAUGCACGAAAGCGUGGGGAGCAAACAGGAUUAGAUACCCUGGUAGUCCACGCCCUAAACGAUGUCAACUGGUUGUUGGGUCUUCGCUGACUCAGUAACGAAGCUAACGCGUGAAGUUGACCGCCUGGGGAGUACGGCCGCAAGGUUGAAACUCAAA